rnacentral:rRNA from 1 species
UACGUAGGGUCCAAGCGUUGUCCGGAAUUAUUGGGCGUAAAGAGCUCGUAGGCGGUCCAUUAAGUCGAAAGUGAAAUCUCAGGGCUCAACCCUGAAAUUGCUUCCGAUACUGGUGGACUUGAGGCAGGUAGGGGAAGGUGGAAUUCCUGGUGUAGCGGUGAAAUGCGCAGAUAUCAGGAGGAACACCGGUGGCGAAGGCGGCCUUCUGGGCCUGUUCUGACGCUGAGGAGCGAAAGCGUGGGGAGCAAACAGG